CCAGCCUUCUGAAAGGAAGAUUAAUCCAGGAUGGGAUCAUGAGUUCACAUGUCCGCAUGAUUAAAGGUAUUUUCCGGUAGACGAUGGGGAUGCGUUCCAUUAGAUAGUAGGCGGGGUAACGGCCCACCUAGUCAACGAUGGAUAGGGGUUCUGAGAGGAAGGUCCCCCACAUUGGAACUGAGACACGGUCCAAACUCCUACGGGAGGCAGCAGUGAGGAAUAUUGGUCAAUGGGCGAUGGCCUGAACCAGCCAAGUAGCGUGAAGGAUGACUGCCCUAUGGGUUGUAAACUUCUUUUAUAAAGGAAUAAAGUCGGGUAUGCAUACCCGUUUGCAUGUACUUUAUGAAUAAGGAUCGGCUAACUCCGUGCCAGCAGCCGCGGUAAUACGGAGGAUCCGAGCGUUAUCCGGAUUUAUUGGGUUUAAAGGGAGCGUAGAUGGAUGUUUAAGUCAGUUGUGAAAGUUUGCGGCUCAACCGUAAAAUUGCAGUUGAUACUGGAUGUCUUGAGUGCAGUUGAGGCAGGCGGAAUUCGUGGUGUAGCGGUGAAAUGCUUAGAUAUCACGAAGAACUCCGAUUGCGAAGGCAGCCUGCUAAGCUGCAACUGACAUUGAGGCUCGAAAGUGUGGGUAUCAAACAGGAUUAGAUACCCUGGUAGUCCACACGGUGAACGAUGAAUACUCGCUGUUUGCGAUAUACGGCAAGCGGCC
rnacentral:rRNA from 1 species